UUUUCAGACAGAAGCUCAUCAUGCUGACAGUAUUCAGUUUGUUUUGGCUCACUGGUGUUUGUCUGGGUGUUAAAGUUUCCCAAACACCUGUGGAAGUUUUCAGAACACCUGGAGAAAAUGUCCAGCUGGUCUGCAGCCAUGAAAAGACUGACUACGUGCUCAUGCAGUGGUACCAGAAAUCCCCUGGAGACCAGGCUCUGAAGCGCAUUGGACAUUUAUAUCACAACAGCAAAGAGCAUGAGGAAGUGUUUAAGACACAUUUUAAUAUUAGUGGAGAUUUAAGUGGAGAGAAAGCAAAGAAUGCUUCUCUGUUUAUAGUGGACCUAAAGGCACCUGAGCACAGUGCAGUGUAUUACUGUGCAGCAAGCUAUGCACACUGAGAGGAAAACCCCUCCCUGUAAUACAAAAACUCAAAACCACCCACUUUAAUGGUCUUAUGGAUCUAAACUGAACAUACUCCUCCCACCUCUUGGUUAGAUCCCGGCCAGUAUAGUGUUCACUUUAUUUUCAUCUUAAAGUUUAAGACAAAUCAGUAAAGUCCGACAUCCAAACAUAGCAAGUUCAAUUUAAAGACACGUUAUCAAAGGAGGGUCACAAUGAUUGUUUUUCUCUUUUUCUGGUGCCUCACAGGUAAUACCUUGUUUGCACACCAUAAGAUCCUGUUGACAUUUAUAUUGUGUCAUUAAGUGUAUCAUCUGUUAUAAUUUAACCAGAAUUUUUUUAUGUUUGUCUAUUCAGGCGAUGUUAACAUGGAAAUGGUUUCAUUAAAUGUGUCGGGUUACGGUCUAAAUUGAAUUUUCUUCAUUCUCUAUCCAGGUGUCUGUCUGGGUGUAGAGGUCCGUCAGACUCCCUCUGAGUUCAUCACAAAUGUUGAAUCCAAAGUGCAGAUUUUCUGCAGCCAUAAAAAGACUGACUACAGGGUGAUGCUCUGGUACCAGCAGCCACCCGGAGAGACAGCUAUGAAACUCAUUGGAUUUUUAAACGUCAAAGCUGUCACAUUUGACCAGGACCAAUAUAAAGAUCAUUUUGAUUUUACAGGAGAUUUAAGUGGGGAUACCGCAAAAAAUGGCUCUCUGAUAGUCAAAGUGGCAAAACAUGAGCACAGUGCAGUGUACUACUGUGCAGCUAGAUAUGCACAAUGACAAAAAGAUUCUCUGAACAUUACAAAAACCCCACGGUCUGGAAUCAUCAGUGGUUUGAAAAAAGAAAAACUGAUUUGAGACACCUGUUUUUGUGGUUUUGGUUUUUACUUUUGAUACAGUUUUGCUGGCUUAUGCCAAUUUUACCAGACUAAUGAGAUUUCUAAUGUGUAAUAAAAACUUAAAAGCGA